rnacentral:misc_RNA from 1 species
UAUGGGUCCAAAGAAAUUGAUUAAAAUGGGUUUAAUUGAUGCGGCAGGAAAUCAUAGCAUCAACAGCCAUGGAAAAUGAUUGUGUGAGAAUAUUUUUACAAAAUUGAAUGCAGCUAGCGAUCCCUUUUCCAGCAAACGACAACGAAAAUUCCCAUACAGGUUGGUAGAAGAAAGCAGGUCAGUUAGAGUAGUAGGUUGUGUAUUUACAUCAAAUGCUAAUUCAAUUUACUUGAAAUAGAGAAUUCCCAACUUGAUUUUCCAUCGCAAGAAAAUUCAAUCACUGGGAUAGCGAUUGUUCUCGACUCUGACUAAUUUUUUAUGAUUCGUCCCAUACUUGAUAUUGUGUGAGCAGAGAUGGGUAUAAUAUUAAUAAAAGAAUAUAUAUUUAUUAUGAUAAUGAUGUUGCUCACUUACUAAGCCUCACUUUGCUCUCCAGUUAAAAAGUUCUCAUCUCAACUUCGAUCUGGGAUGGAGAAGGCGAAUCGUACUCGAUUUGCUCCAUUAUCUUUCCUACUGUUGAAGGCUUUGGAUUCCUGGGGAGUGGUGGGGUGGCGUCGAGUUUGUCUUGUGUGGCCAGUUGGUGGCUAUGGGCUUUAUUCAGGUGGGCGCCUAAUAACUCCUCGGCUUUUAAUACUCAGCUCGAAAACCGUGGGCAGAAUCUGAAUGAGGCUCUUGCAGCACCAGCCUUUGCCAUUCAACAAUCUACGCACCGCAUGUCUGCCACCAGUAGCCUCCAUUCACCUCACUGACACUGUGCAUCAAAUGGUCAACUUUUUUAUUUUUAAUUUCAAAUUUAUUAUUAAAUAAUAAUCCCAUGAAUUAUUCUUAAUUAACUUAAAUUUAUUCCAAUUACUGAUUCCCUUCCCUUGGAACUUCCUUGAAAAUCAAAUUCCCAUUUUCAAAAUGAAUUCUUCUAUGGGAAUUUCUUCUGUCUUUAUACAUGACUCGACGUAUAAGACAAGAAAAGGAAACUGACUUCACUUGGUAUCGCUGGAGCAUGUGCGACGCCUCUCUUGGGUCUUGGCCCUCUUUUCAGAUGAGAUGAGUGGUGUUUAUGGGUCGCUAUUCAUCCAUAAGACCAUCUCUGCUACCGCUAAUCACAGAAAACAAACAAACGAACAUAAUUAUUAAUUGAGCGACAGUGAACAAGAAUUCUAAUCUAUAUAUAUUCUUACAAUACGCUAAUAGAUUUCUAAACAGAAUUCAUCAUAUCAUCAUCUUCUUCUUCAUGAUCAGAAUUCAAUCAGCAGGGAUUCUCAUUUGAAGAAAUGAAGAACUGUGAAUCAAGCUUGGCCCUACAAACAGGACACACAGAAUUCUUCGAAAGCCAAGUGUCUGCGCAUUCCAAAUGGAACCCAUGAUUGCAACCAGGAACCAGCCUCGCCGGUUGCUCUUCCUCAAUCUCAUCAAGACAAACCGCACACUCCGUCCCCAUAACCAACUCCCUUCCGGUUAUCUUAGGCAACUUCUCAAGCUCAGACGCCGACAAUCCUUUCUCCGCCCGCUGCUUUACCUGCGGUGCGAUUUCCGUUUGAUUAUUAGCAGCGAACCAGAGUAUGCAUAUAUAAAUGAGGAAAAUAGCGCUCAUGCCAACGCAGGGAAGAAAAAGGGCCAAAAAGACAGAGAGGAGCAUGUUUUGGUUGGAGGAAACGAAGAGGUGGUUCACGGGGGCUGGCGGCCGAGAAGGAGAGAGGAGAAGCGUGUAGCGCACACCAUCGCGCAUUAUAGGAGGGCAGAAGGAAAGCAGAGGAUGGUGGGGUGGCGUUGGAUUUUCAGGUUUAUAGUAUGUGUGGAUGGUGACCUAGACUCUUGACGGAUUUAGAAGGGAAUGGUGAGGUGAUGCUUGUGAGGGCAACGGGUAGCCAUCGCCACCGGUCUGGUUUGGCUUGGUUCUACGCUUAAAUCGGACUAUUUGUAACGGUUGUAAUUUUAUUUAAGAUGAUUUGC